AGAGUUUGAUCCUGGCUCAGGAUGAACGCUGGCGGCAUGCCUAAUACAUGCAAGUCGAACGAGAGGAAGGAAAGCUUGCUUUUCUGAAUCUAGUGGCGAACGGGUGAGUAACACGUAGGUAACCUGCCCAUGUGCCCGGGAUAACUUCUGGAAACGGAUGCUAAAACCGGAUAGGUAGCAGACAAGCAUUUGACUGCUAUUAAAGUGGCUAAGACCAUGAAACAUGGAUGGAACCUGCGGUGCAUUAGCUAGUUGGUGAGGUAACGGCCCACCAAGGCGACGAUGCAUAGCCGGCCUGAGAGGGCGGACGGCCACAUUGGGACUGAGACACGGCCCAAACUCCUACGGGAGGCAGCAGUAGGGAAUUUUCGUCAAUGGGGGGAACCCUGAACGAGCAAUGCCGCGUGAGUGAGGAAGGUCUUCGGAUCGUAAAGCUCUGUUGUAAGAGAAAAACGACAUUCAUAGGGAAUGAUGAGUGAGUGAUGGUAUCUUACCAGAAAGUCACGGCUAACUACGUGCCAGCAGCCGCGGUAAUACGUAGGUGGCGAGCGUUAUCCGGAAUGAUUGGGCGUAAAGGGUGCGUAGGUGGCAGAACAAGUCUGGAGUAAAAGGUAUGGGCUCAACCCGUACUGGCUCUGGAAACUGUUCAGCUAGAGAACAGAAGAGGACGGCGGAAUUCCAUGUGUAGCGGUAAAAUGCGUAGAUAUAUGGAAGAACACCGGUGGCGAAGGCGGCCGUCUGGUCUGUUGCUGACACUGAAGCACGAAAGCGUGGGGAGCAAAUAGGAUUAGAUACCCUAGUAGUCCACGCCGUA
rnacentral:rRNA from 1 species